GUGGGGAAUAUUGGACAAUGGGCGCAAGCCUGAUCCAGCCAUGCCGCGUGAGUGAUGAAGGCCUUAGGGUUGUAAAGCUCUUUCAGUGGGGACGAUAAUGACGGUACCCACAGAAGAAGCCCCGGCUAACUUCGUGCCAGCAGCCGCGGUAAUACGAAGGGGGCUAGCGUUGUUCGGAUUUACUGGGCGUAAAGCGCACGUAGGCGGAUCGUUAAGUCGGGGGUGAAAUCCUGGAGCUCAACUCCAGAACUGCCUUCGAUACUGGCGAUCUUGAGUCCGGAAGAGGUGAGUGGAACUCCUAGUGUAGAGGUGGAAUUCGUAGAUAUUAGGAAGAACACCAGUGGCGAAGGCGGCUCACUGGUCCGGUACUGACGCUGAGGUGCGAAAGCGUGGGGAGCAUACAGGAUUAGAAACCCUGGUAGUCC
rnacentral:rRNA from 1 species